UACGUAGGGGGCAAGCGUUGUCCGGAUUUAUUGGGCGUAAAGAGCGUGUAGGCGGCCAUACAGGUCAGCUGUGAAAACUCGAGGCUCAACCUCGAGACGUCGGUUGAAACCGUAUGGCUAGAGUCCGGAAGAGGAGAGUGGAAUUCCCGGUGUAGCGGUGAAAUGCGCAGAUAUCGGGAAGAACACCCGUGGCGAAGGCGGCUCUCUGGGACGGUACUGGACGCUGAGACGCGAAAGCGUGGGGAGCGAACAGGA
rnacentral:rRNA from 1 species